AAAAUGUUUGAUUUUGGGGUCCAGUGGGGGAUUUUUGAAGAGCAAAAGUGUGAUUUUCGAGUUAAAUGGGGGAUUUUCCAAGAGAAAAUGCGUGAUGUUGGGGAUGAUGGGGUAUUUUUGAAGAGAUAAAGCAUGAUUUGGGGGUAAAUGCGGGAUUUUCCAAGAGAAAAGGCGUGAUUUUUGGGUUACAUGGGGGAUUUUUGAAGAGAAAAUGUAUGAUUUUCAGUUAAAUCGCGGCAUCUCUAAGAGAAAAUGCCUGAUGUUUGCAUUAAAUGUGUGAUUUUCAGGUUACAUGGGAGAUUUUUGUAGAGAAAAUGCGUGAUUUUCGGGAUAAAUGAGGGAUUCUUGAAGAGAAAAUGCGUGAUUUUCAAGUUAAAUGGGGGAUUCUCAAAGAGAAAUAGCCUUUUCUUCUGGUUAAAUGGGGGAUUAUCGAAGAGAAAAUGCACCAUUUUUGUUUACAGGUGAGAUUUUUGUAGAGGAAAUGCGUGAUUUUUUUGAUACAUGGGGGAUUCUUGUAGCAAAAAUGUUUGAUUUUGGGGUCCAGUGGGGGAUUUUUGAAGAGCAAAAGUGAGAUUUUUGAGUUAAAUGGGGGAUUUUCCAAGAGAAAAUGCGUGAUUUGGGGGUUAAAUGGGGGAUUUCUGAGGAGAAAAUGUGUGACUUGUGGGAUAAUGGGGUAUUUUUGGAGAGAAAAUGCAAGAUUUUGUGGAAAAUGCGGGAUUUUGCAAGAGAAAAUGCAUGAUUUUGGGAUUAAAUGGGAGAUUUUCCAAGAGAAAAUGCGUGAUUUUGGGGUUCAAAGGGGAUUUGGCCAGAGAAAUCGUGUGAAUCUUGGGAUAAUGGGGUAUUUUUGGAGAGAAAAUGCAUGAUUUGGGGGUAAAUGCGUAUUUUCCAUGAGAAAAGGCGAGAUUUUUGAGUUAAAUGGGGGAUAUUCCAAGAGAAAAUGCGUGAUUUUGGGGUUAAAUGGGGGAUUGUUGAAGGGAAAAUGCAUGAUUUGGGGGUUUAGGGGGGGAUUUUUGAAGAGAAAACACGUAAUUUUUGGUUUAAACAGCUAUUUUUGAAGAGAAUAUGCGUGAUUUUCAGUUUAAAUCAGG
rnacentral:lncRNA from 1 species